rnacentral:lncRNA from 1 species
UGAACACUAAAUAGGUAAUUGCUGCUGUUGUAUUUUGUAUUUUCCUCAGUGAGGAAGUUCCACAGGUAAUCCAUAAUAUUUUGAUAUUGAGAGAAUUUGGCAUUUGGUGGUGAUUAUCUGCAUGUGUCUGAGUUUUGCUAGACAGCAGUGUGAACUCUCUUAGUGACUAUACUUAUACCACAGGAUUUAUGCUUCAGAAUAAGAUUUUUCCUGCCUAAAUAUAUUUUCAAGCAAGCACAUUUGCUUUUUUAUUUUAUUUUCCUUCUUUUUUUCUAUCUAUAACAGUCACAGAAUGGUUGAAUUUGGAAGGAAGAUCUGGAGAUCAUCUGCAGCACACCACAAAUCCUCUCAGAAAGCUCACCUGAGCUGUUUCUUCAAGGCAUUCAGAACAUAGGCAAUUGUUACAUAUAAUUGCAGCUUGGCAAUUAUCUCUUAUCUAUUUACUUUGUCCAAACAGUAUAUUCUGGAGAAAGAUUUAUGGCUGAAAGCACUUGAGUAGGCCAUGUCUUUCAGAAGGAUGGAAUGCACAUAAAUUGUUUACGAACUUGAUAACUUCAAACUUUAGCAUGAGUGAAUGGGCAAGGUCAGUAAAAUGAUGGACUGGAUAACAUUCAAAGGUUGAACAGACACAUUCUUUUACAGAUCACCCACAUUCUCUCCUCCACCAUGAGGCACUUCCAACAGCAGCUUUUUCUUUUUCCAGUAACUCACAGAAAAUGUAGUGUACACAUCAACAAAUAACAAGUCUUGUAGUAUUUAGCUUCUGGAAUAUACUAGUAUUUAAGACCAUCUCCUCACAACUGAAGAACUGCUAUGCAAAAUCUGUGCAUGAAAAGUCCUCAGAGAAUCUGGGUCCUUCCCAUCUGGAACUUCCUUGGAAGAAGAGAAGAUUUGAGUGGGUGUUAUUGGUCUGUGCCUCAACAGGGCUGACUUCAGACUGUUUCACAACAGUGGAGGUCUGCAAUGAUGGCAGAUGGGGUACAGUGCCUGUCAAUAACAAAAAGGAUUUAGAAAAACCUCUAAUGAGAAAUGGUAAUUAGAAAGUCUUUGUACUUUACACUCACCUUAAAAUGUAGCACCAACAA